UGUGUUCACUCGAGUGGAAUAGAGGUUUUUGUACGAGCCUUUCAUUAGAUUGUAUCACUGUGGUACACUUUCGGUGGAGGAACUAAACUGGUGCUCGCUGGUCCCACAGUGAAGCCCUCAGUGUCUCUGCUGCCGCCCUCUUCUCUGCAGAUCUCUGGAGACUCAGCCGCACUGCUCUGCCUGCUCAGCUCUUACUCUCCACAGGGGGCGCUGGUGAGCUGGACACUGGACGGCUCAGAGGUCACCGAGGGGGUUGUGACCAGCGCAGAGAGCGAGCAGGACGGCCGCUACAGCCGCAGUAGCGUCCUGACCCUCAGCAAAGCACGCUGGGAAGAGGGAGAGCUGUACGUCUGCAGAGUAACACAUGAUGGAGCUCCUCAUGAGGCCUCGUUCCACAAGAGUCGCUGUUAGUCGCUCGCAGUGCUGAUGUUUCUCCAGUGAGCGCUGCUCUCUCCUGAAGAUGAGCGUAUCUGAGUGUCCUGUGUCAGGCAGGAUUCACAUGAGUCUAGUGCUGCAGCUGUAGUCAUUUACAACUCAAUACUGAAAGAGAGCUCUAGUGUCAAAGCACUGGCUGAUCUUUCAAUCUGCUGUGUUUGCUGCAACAUUCAAUAAAGCUUCUCAACAAA